CCCAAACCGAAAGACUUUAUCAGUACAUGGAUAUGGUGUCCCCCUAUUUUUUUCGCUACCCUUGCGUUUCUUGCUCGCUACCCUUGCGUUGUGAUGUCGAGGGGAAAAAGAAGAGUCUCCAGUUGAAAGUCUGGUCUGUUGGUCGGUUUCUUUUCCGAAUAAAUAUAUAAUCUAGCCGAGCCUAUAGAAUAAAAUUACUAAUUGAAAAAAAAAAAAAAAAAAAAAGUCACUGAGUAACUAAUGAAGCAACUUAAUUUCCUCCAAAUAAACCAAACUUCAGACCUAAUCUCAAAGAUAUUUACAGUUUAACGGAAUCUUGAAAUGACGAGUAUAAGGCACAUGAUGGUUUCCCUGAUGAUUGAUGCCUGACUGCAUUUAGACUUUUUGAAUUUUUGUAUCCACUUAGUAAUGUCUUGGUGAAGGGAGAGCCCCAAAUCAGAAUUGCGUGUAUGGAAAAUGCUUAAUAGACGCGAAGAGAUAAGAUGACUACCAUGGUUGUAGACCUAGGAAGUAGGAACAUAUUCUUUUUUAACAGUUUAUUUGGUGUUGUUAAACAUCUUACUUUCUACCUUGUUCAUAGCUAGGAUAGCACAUCUCUUAUUUGCUUGCGAUAAGAUUCCGAUUCGAUUAGUUGAUUUAUUUUACCUCACCAUUUAAUUUUGUAUCUGGGUUUUCCACUUCGAAAGCUUAACCCACAUACUUGUAAACUUUUCAAAGUGUAUUGUUAGUCACUUAUUCUGCACAAGAACUAACAAGAGAUUCCUGUUUUUCUUAACCUCACCAGGGAGAGUUCAAUUCUGGCAAAUCAAGUGUCAUUAAUUCUUUUCUGGGGCAAAGAUACUUGAAGGAUGGAGUUGUUCCUACUACUAAUGCGAUCACCUUUCAUUACCUUUCAAAAAAAAAAAAAACUAAUGAGAUCACCUUUCUAUGCUAUUCUGAGUUGGAUUAUAAUGUUUAGCAUUGUGAAAGGCUCCCUGAUGGUAAAUAUAUAUGCUAUUUACCUGCUCCAGUUCAUAAAGAAGUGGGUUUCUUCUACAUUUUCUGCCUUCUUCUUGGACAAGAAUGCAUUCCUAAUACUGAAAGACAUUUUUUUCCUCGUUGAAGGAAUAUUUUACUCUGGGUCAUGAUGAAGAGUUAAAUUUCUCCCCAUUCUCUGCUCCUUCCAGUGGUCUGGGACAGUAUGAACAAUCUUUGAAUACAUCAUAUAAGUGGAAGAAAGGUGAUCACUUUUCUACAACUAAUGAGAUCACUUUUGCCAAACAGCUUUUUUCUGCUACUCAGAAGCUUAUUGGUGAAGAAUGCCAGCAAGCAAGAAAAGACUUGGUGAAUGAUCUUAUAAGUAGCAUGAAAAAGUAUGUAUGGAAAAUGGAAAGCGAAGCAUUUCUUGGAAGAGACAAAUUUUGUCUCCGGUAAUUAUGUGUAUCUGUACCUUGAUCUAUCUAUUGUAUGGUUUUAUAUAUGAUCAGAAUUGAUUUAGACAAUUGUUGUUUGUACCAAAAAAUGCAGAUUAAUAGCACCCAAGCACUUGUCAUCAAGCUCGCAGAAUCAACCCUGCUACUAUCGAAUCUGGACCUUGUGACUUCAAAUGUUUUUAAGGGAGAUAAAUCUGUCCCUAUGCCAGUGACCUCAGGUCUUAGAAAUGAUGCAAUUGGAGCAAAAGUGAUGCGGACAUCCAUUUACUAUUUAUUUUCUAUUUGAACUAUUAGUUAUAUUUUAUUUGAAUUAUUAUUUAUGUUUCUGUUAUUGGGUUUAUGUAGUGGGUUUGGCCCAAACCCUUCUCUUAAGGAUUUUUGUUUUGCUAUUUAUUUUUGUUUUGUUGCAUAUUUGAGACAGUUGAUGAAUUAAUGAAUUAAAAAAUAGAAUGCUUAGGUUGUUG
rnacentral:lncRNA from 1 species